GAGAGAGUGUGAGAGGAGAGAGAGUGUGAGAGAGGAGAGAGAGUGUGAGAGGAGAGAGAGUGUGAGAGGAGAGAGAGUGUGAGAGAGAGAGAGAGUGUGUGAGAGGAGAGAGAGUGUGAGAGGAGAGAGUGUGAGAGGAGAGAGUGUGUGAGAGGAGAGAGUGUGUGAGAGGAGAGAGUGUGUGAGAGGAGAGAGAAAGUGUGAGAGGAGAGAGAGUCAGUGUGUGAGAGGAGAGAGUGUGUGAGAGGAGAGAGAGUGUGAGAGAGAGAAGAGAGUCAGUGUGAGGAGAGAGAGUGUGUGAGAGGAGAGAGAGUGUGUGAGAGGAGAGAGUGUGUGAGAGGAGAGAGAGUCAGUGAGAGGAGAGAGAGUCAGUGUGUGAGAGGAGAGAGAGUCAGUGUGUGAGAGGAGAGAGAGUCAGUGUGUGAGAGGAGAGAGAGUCAGUGUAGAGAGAGAGUCAGUGUGUGAGAGGAGAGAGAGUGUGAGAGGAGAGAGAGUGUGAGAGGAGAGAGAGUGUGAG
ensembl:lncRNA